rnacentral:rRNA from 1 species
AUGAACGCUUGCGGCGUGCCUAAUACCUGCCAGUCGAGCGCACGGACGAGAAGCUUGCUUCUCUGAUGUUAGCGGCGGACGGGUGAGUAACACGUGGAUAACCUACCUAUAAGACUGGGAUAACUUCGGGAAACCGUAGCUAAUACCGGAUAAUAUUUUGAACCGCAUGGUUCAAAAGUGAAAUACGGUCUUGCUGUCACUUAUAGAUGGAUCCGCGCUGCAUUAGCUAGUUGGUAAGGUAACGGCUUACCAAGGCAACGAGGCAUAGCCGACCUGAGAGGGUGAUCGGCCACACUGGAAGUGAGACACGGUCCAGACUCCUACGGGAGGCAGCAGUAGGGAAUCUUCCGCAAUGGGCGAAAACCUGACGGAGCAACGUCGCGUGAGUGAUGAAGGUCUUCGGAUCGUAAAACUCUGUUAUUAGGGAAGAACAUAUGUGUAAGUAACUGUGCACAUCUUGACGGUACCUAAUCAGAAAGCCACGGCUAACUACGUG